rnacentral:rRNA from 1 species
CCUACGGGUGGCAGCAGUGGGGAAUAUUGGACAAUGGGGGGAACCCUGAUCCAGCCAUGCCGCGUGUGUGAAGAAGGCCUUAUGGUUGUAAAGCACUUUAAGCGAGGAGGCGUUACUCGCAGAAUAAGCACCGGCUAACUCUGUGCCAGCAGCCGCGGUAAUACAGAGGGUGCGAGCGUUAAUCGGAUUUACUGGGCGUAAAGCGUGCGUAGGCGGCUUUUUAAGUCGGAUGUGAAAUCCCCGAGCUUAACUUGGGAAUUGCAUUCGAUACUGGGAAGCUAGAGUAUGGGAGAGGAUGGUAGAAUUCCAGGUGUAGCGGUGAAAUGCGUAGAGAUCUGGAGGAAUACCGAUGGCGAAGGCAGCCAUCUGGCCUAUCUGACGCUGAGGUACGAAAGCAUGGGGAGCAAACAGGAUUAGAUACCCUUGUAGUC